rnacentral:rRNA from 1 species
GUCGGGAAUAUUGCACAAUGGAGGAAACUCUGAUGCAGUGACGCCGCGUGCAGGAAGAAGGUUUUCGGAUUGUAAACUGCUUUAGAUAGGGAAGAUAAAAGACAGUACCUAUAGAAUAAGCUCCGGCUAACUACGUGCCAGCAGCCGCGGUAAUACGUAGGGAGCAAGCGUUAUCCGGAUUUAUUGGGUGUAAAGGGUGCGUAGACGGGCUAACAAGUUAGUUGUGAAAUCCCUCGGCUCAACUGAGGAACUGCAACUAAAACUAUUAGUCUUGAGUGCGGGAGAGGAAAGUGGAAUUCCUAGUGUAGCGGUGAAAUGCGUAGAUAUUAGGAGGAACACCAGUGGCGAAGGCGACUUUCUGGACCGUAACUGACGUUGAGGCACGAAAGUGUGGGGAGCAAACAGGA